rnacentral:rRNA from 1 species
GAUGAACGCUGGCGGCGUGCCUAAUACAUGCAAGCCGAGCGAACUGAUUAGAAGCUUGCUUCUAUGACGUUAGCGGCGGACGGGUGAGUAACACGUGGGCAACCUGCCUGUAAGACUGGGAUAACUUCGGGAAACCGAAGCUAAUACCGGAUAGGAUCUUCUCCUUCAUGGGAGAUGAUUGAAAGAUGGUUUCGGCUAUCACUUACAGAUGGGCCCGCGGUGCAUUAGCUAGUUGGUGAGGUAACGGCUCACCAAGGCAACGAUGCAUAGCCGACCUGAGAGGGUGAUCGGCCACACUGGGACUGAGACACGGCCCAGACUCCUACGGGAGGCAGCAGUAGGGAAUCUUCCGCAAUGGACGAAAGUCUGACGGAGCAACGCCGCGUGAGUGAUGAAGGCUUUCGGGUCGUAAAACUCUGUUGUUAGGGAAGAACAAGUACGAGAGUAACUGCUCGUACCUUGACGGUACCUAACCAGAAAGCCACGGCUAACUACGUGCCAGCAGCCGCAGUAAAAC